rnacentral:lncRNA from 1 species
GCUGCUGUCCAUUCUCCAUCGCCGACCCCGACCCAGCGGCGCAACAUAUAUACGCAUAGAAAACAGAGCAUACUAAGAGAUACAGAGAGUUGAGCAAGAUGAUCUCCGUUCAGGGACUUUUUACUUUCAUUCCUCUCUUCCACCUCCAGUCCAUUCAUAACAAUCAUCCCCCUGGCUGUUCAUUACGCUCAUAGCCGUGCCGGAGCUCCUCUGUUCGCUCGCCCUGUUUUUGAGUCGAUGUGCCCCAAGUACCUUGGACUCGUUUGUUCUACCAUCUCCGACUCCGAUUUUCGACGCUGUGCUUUCCAAGACCUUCUAUUACCAACCUAACAACCGAUCGUGACCAGAACAACUCCUCAUCAAGGUAUUUGUCUACUAUGCUUUGUUUUGAUUUGAAUCGAGCACGUUUCAGUGCACGAUUGUCUCUCGGCCGGCCUCGGAUUCAUUGAUUCGUCUUUGUUAAGGCUUAUCUUAGCUCCUCUGACCUUGUUUUUGACCAAUCACUAGAUGUUUUUGUUUGUCAAUCGCCUCGCUCAUUAAGAUCGCCGCCUGUUCGAUAGUUUGCUCCAAGAGUUCGAAUUGAAAAUUUUUAUCUGGUCUAAGAGCUUAGCGCAAUUUUUUCAUGCACUGAAAGUUUAUUUAGCUCGUGGCUCUGUUUCUUUAGUAUUUUGUUUAGGCAUGAGAUGGGCGGUGAUGCUAAAAUAUCAUCCCCGCAUUUGCCAUAUUUUGGACUUUCCAAUAUUAAUCACGUUGACAAUAAUUAAGGUAUUUCAUAUAUCUUAGAUAUAUGUUUGAAAUAGGCAUGAGAAUCUUAAGAUAAUUUUAGAGCUAUGUAAUAAAUUGAUAUCAACUAUUCGAUUCCUUAAAUGAGUAGGGGCCGGGACUAGUAAAUCAUGAAAUUCCUAUAUGGUGAUUAUAAAAAAACAAUGCUUAUACAUUAAUUCCGUGUUAAUCAAUCUCUCUAAAUUAUUUAAUAGUCUUAAAAAUCACUUUCUCAUCAAUCGGGGAUUAGAAUGGGCACCAAAAGUCUCAUAUUAAUAACUAAAAUAUUAGUUAUCAUCAUAGAACUUAAUAUAUUCAAAUGACUCUAACUAUAAAAUCAUUACAUUAGCAUCACAUCACCGACUUUUUCAUCAUCCAUGACGUCCAAAUCUAGUAUUUGCUAAACAUAGGAUGUGCAAUCAGUCCAAAUUCAAGAAGUUGGAAGAGUCAUCAGCCAGUUAGCGAAUGACAAUCUUCGUGAUUUGGUGGUUUAAUUGUAUGCUAGAAGCCACUUUGCUUAUCCUGCGAGCAAUAUAGUGGGGAAAAUUUCACUUUAAGAAAAGUGAUCACACACCUCAAAUCAUAGGCUUCUACGGGAGACGUAUGUCUAAGGGUGAAGCAGUAGAAAGGAGCGGUGGUGGACCGGCUGGAAAGGGUUGACGGGGUGGAGGGUGUCUACGGGGUCGUUCAGGUGGAGAGUGUGGAUAGGGUGCAGGGGCUGGAGCAGGUGAACGGGGUGGAGAGGGUGGAUAGGGAGCAGAGAAUGGAGCAAGAGAACGGGGAGGAGCGUGUUCACGUCCUUCAUCUUUCAGUAGUCUGGUGUCACUAUGAGUUUUUAAUGUUUUGGUUCCUGCAAAGUAGUACUUCUGGGAAGCUCCUUUGGUCCCGCUCCUUGAAAUUAAUAUAGCAGCUCUAAUGAUGUAGUCGGUGAAGAGCUGUAAAAUACGAGAAUUGGAUCCAAGUGUUAUGAAGAAGGCAAUGUAAAGAAUCAAUAAAAUGAAGAGGGCAGUGAUUCCAACGAUUAAGGCAACAACCGCGAUCCAAGUGCGUUUGCUUAUGGUCAUAUAGACCCCCACAAUGUAGGUCACGGACAUUGUGACAAGAGCUAUGAGCAGCGGUAGCCUCGCAUAUCUAAGGGUAUGAGGUGUCGCAUGUGAAUCAUCCAUCUGCAUCCAAAGAAGGAUCACAGCUGCAAUUAUCGAGCUGUACAAGGCGAUGGAGUUGCAGAUCACAAAGACGUCGUAGAUCAGUUUGUUCAACAAUGUAGCGAUUCCUGCAUUUGGUUCAGAGCUAUUAUAUCCUCCGGGAACAGAAAAGCCAGCGGUGAAUGUCACACUAGCAAUGAGCGUUGCCAUAACGAUACGGACUUCGGCACGCCUCUUUAGUGUAUCUAUGUCUGGAGGCUCUCUCUGCUGGCCUAAGCUUAUUGUCUGUGAAAUUGCUUUGUCUUUGCUUCUGGGUGCUUUGGCAGAUAUUAAGAUUGUCCGUGUUAACCUCUGGUUAGGAGUAACAGAAAAAAAGAUAUAAAAAAAAAGACUGUCAUUUUCCAUAAAGAUGUACUCACAAUCAAAGGUUUAGUAUUCAAAAACACAAAACCUUCUCUAAUGAUACAUAGACUUGCAAUUGCAAUCUUUCUAAGCUUACGCUAGAAACUUAAUUCCACUUGGUAACUUUAGGGGGAGUUCAACGGGUCAAAAUAAACUUUAGUUUUCAUCUCUCCGAAAAGGAAGUAACCAAAACAAUAGUGAAAGGCAAAAGUAGAUAACUUGUUAAUUUAUUUGUCGAUGUCAUUACCAGGUGAAGUGGAG